rfam:Stegodyphus mimosarum contig47808, whole genome shotgun sequence.
AUAAUGGCUGUAUUAACAGCCAUUAUAAUAGUAAAAAUGAUUCAGU